rnacentral:rRNA from 1 species
AUUGAACGCUGGCGGCAGGCCUAACACAUGCAAGUCGAGCGAGCGGCGGACGGGUGAGUAAUGUCUGGGAAACUGCCUGAUGGAGGGGCAUAACUCCUGGAAACGGUAGCUAAUACCGCAUACCAUCAGAUGUGCCCAGAUGGGAUUAUCUAGUAGGUGGGGUAACGGAUCACCUAGGCGACGAUCCCUAGCUGGUCUGAGAGGAUGACCAGCCACACUGGAACGUAGACACGGGCCAGACGCCUACGGGAGGCAGCAGUGGGGAAGAUUGCACAAUGGGCGCAAGCCUGAUGCAGCCAUGCCGCGUGUGUGAAGAAGGCCUUCGGGUUGUAAAGCACUUUCAGCGGGGAGGCGUUACCCGCAGAAGAAGCACCGGCUAACUCCGUGCCAGCAGCCGCGGUAAUAC